AAGAAUUGUAAAUAAAGUGCAGGGUAAGUGAGAAUUGAAAAUGCCAGCAAUAACAGGGAAAAUGUUCAGUGAUUUUUAAGAAGGGGAAAGAAAAUUUAACUUCUAAAGGAUAGCUGCUGCUUUCUGAAUGGAAAAUUGAAGAGAAUCAAGAAGCUAUUUUUGUUCUCUAACUUUUCCUUGAGUUUUUUUUUUUUUUUUUCCCUUGCAGACAUUGGUUAAAUUUCUUACUUUUUAUUCAGUUAUACCUUUAGUUUAGAAUUUAUUAUCUCCUGCUGGCAAUUGUUUGAAGGAUGGCAACAUUUAAUAUCUAUGUGGGGAAUAACCAUAGCACUCAUUUUUGGUGAUUCUCAGUUUAGAUAGAUGGCAGUUAGUGGAAGCAAGCAAUUGUGGCAAAAGGGAACCUUGUGUAACUGUCACAGUUCACAGUACUUGAAACCAGCCUGUCGACUGUGUAUCUCACAGCUCUCUCUUCAUAACCUAUCCAGACAUGGAACUGACAGUGUGCCUCUUUUUAUUUCCCUGAACCUGACCUUGGCUUUGUUGGUAACAGACAACUCUGCAUAUGAAUCAGUGUUCCAAGUAAUCCAGAAAGUGAGCCACUGCUGAGAACAAGAAGGAUCUGGAAAGCCACGAGUCAGCAGAGAAGCCAAGGAGACUCUAAGAUGUCUGGAGAGUCUCCAGAAUCAGCACAGCAUGCUCUCCACCAGGGCUCUGUCCUGCACAGGUAAGAUUGAAGUCUUUUCCCUCUCAGCCACUAUAUUGGAGAUGAAAUGUAUAUGAGUAAUUGAUACUGCUAGCCUGAGGGUCCAACUUCUAAUAUUGUCAUUUUUAAUUUUUUUUUUUUAAGUUAGGUAUCUCCAUUAGAAUUCAAAGAUCCAUGAGUGUUAGUGUUGCCUUCAAAGUUGUCAUACUGGUAGGUUAUAUAGAUUUUUAAAAAACACUACUGCCACUUAUCAAGACAAUUGGAG
rnacentral:lncRNA from 1 species